rnacentral:rRNA from 1 species
AGAGUUUGAUCCUGGCUCAGAAUCAACGCUGGCGGCGUGCCUCAGACAUGCAAGUCGAACGAUUAAAGCUCUCUUCGGAGAGUGCAUAGAGUGGCGCACGGGUGAGUAACACGUAAGUAAUCUACCCUCGAGUGGGGAAUAACGUCCGGAAACGGGCGCUAAUACCGCAUAAUGCAGCGGCAUCAUAAGAUGACAGUUGUUAAAGAUUUAUCGCUUGAGGAGGAGCUUGCGGCAGAUUAGCUAGUUGGUAAGGUAACGGCUUACCAAGGCUACGAUCUGUAACCGGUCUUAGAGGACGGUCGGUCACACUGACACUGAAUAACGGGUCAGACUCCUACGGGAGGCAGCAGUCGGGAAUUUUGGGCAAUGGGCGAAAGCCUGACCCAGCAACGCCGCGUGAAGGAUGAAGUAUUUCGGUAUGUAAACUUCGAAAGAAUAGGAAGAAUUAAUGACGGUACUAUUUAUAAGGUCCGGCUAACUACGUGCCAGCAGCCGCGGUAAUACGUAGGGACCAAGCGUUGUUCGGAUUUACUGGGCGUAAAGGGCGCGUAGGCGGCAUGACAAGUCACUUGUGAAAUCUCCGGGCUUAACUCGGAACGGCCAAGUGAUACUGUCACGCUAGAGUAUUGGAGGGGCAAUCGGAAUUCUUGGUGUAGCGGUGAAAUGCGUAGAUAUCAAGAGGAACACCUGAGGUGAAGACGGGUUGCUGGCCAAAUACUGACGCUGAGGCGCGAAAGCCAGGGGAGCAAACGGGAUUAGAUACCCCGGUAGUCCUGGCCCUAAACGAUGAAUACUUGGUG